ensembl:lncRNA
CAUUGGCUGUGUCCGAAUUCAGGGGAAGGAUGCUCAUAAGGACACUACCUACCUACGUCACAAGGUAGUGUCCUUAGACGGACGGGUAGUCAGGAAGUGAGCGGCUUGGACAGCCCCCUUUUUUUCUCCAUAGAAACUUUAUUGAACAAACAAUGAGUAUCCAACAUAACAGAUGGGCUGUGGACAGCCUCCUAGCCUUCAACUCCGCCCUUGUUUGUUUUUCCCGAUCGCUAGCGCCACAGCGCGAAAACUUUAAAAUGGACCCAGAAAUGUCGCUCCGUUGUUUGGACAAUUUUAUUUCUCGAGGAGCUAGAAAAACCUUAUCAUCGUCGCCCGCACGUUUUGUACCUUAGGCUCAUCAGAGACAAUCAUAUCCAGUGGUGUGGCAGCCACGAGUGAGCCAGCCCUGCAAACCCUGUUGAUGGACGAUGCAGUGGACAGUGGGAGGAAGCAUCCUGAAGCUCUUUGCAGACCACCCUGUGUGAUUCUCCACUCGCCCACCAAAAGACAAACCACAGGUCUCAGUUGCAGCAGCUCAUCCACGUCUGAUCUUGCUCGGGCAGAUUCAGCAACACUGCCAGAGACUUCCUGUAAUCUAUUACAGUUGUUCAAGAAACGGUCCAGGAACAGGUCACUCAGGUUAAUCCUGUGUGAACAACUGAAAAUAUUGUUGUUUCAUCUUUACAUACUGUGUAUUUGAAAUAUUCUUGUUUAAUUGUUAUUGUUAUUUACUUUAUUGCUAUCAAAUAAAUAUCCAAGUAAUAUUGUUCAAAGUUAGCGUUAUGUUCAUACGUGUUACAAAUG